CUUCAAAAAAUUCUCUCCCCCCCCCCAAGUUCAUCCGGCUAGGGUCCGGUCAUCGGCCAUUCAUCGGCCACCACGCCGACCGUCGACCUCCGGCGACAGCACCACCGUCUGCAGUGGCCGGAAAAAGGAAAAAUUACCCUUUCGACUCUCUCGACCCUUCCAAGCCAAAAUCGGGAUUCAAAAUUUUCAAGAAACCACAAAAACACCCUCAAAAACCCUAGAAACCUUUCUGCUCCUAGCCGUCUGUCCUCGGAGAUGAACCUCGGCUGUUCCAACGGCGUUUCAGAGGUAAACCAAAUAUAUUAAGUGUCCUUUUAUAGCAAACAAUGAACAAAAGAAAAAGUGCAGGUGAACGGGAGAGGCGGCUGCGGCGCGAGGCUUACCCCAGAAACCCUAGGGUUUCUGAAACUGCUUUGGGCCUGGGAUUAAUUUUGGGCCUCUGUUUAUUUCAGUUUGGGCCCUUAUGGCCUGUUUGUAAUUGGACUCUAUAUUUAUUUUUAUUUGCUUGGUGCGGGCCGGGUAAAAACUAGGCAUUACAAGAUCGAUGAUUGAAGCGGUUAAGUCACCGGUUCAUCGGUCCAAAUAAAAAAUUAAAAAAUUCGGUUCCACUAAGUUUUUAACUGAUUUGUACCAAUUCUCAGUCUGAUUGGUUUAAAACCACUUUCCAAAAUAGUAUCCUAACCAAUCUAAU